CGCCGCCGUCUGCCCCGCGUAGCGACACCGAGAGGGACGCGUCGGCCUCCUCCACUCCCCGUCCAGCUAACGGCCCUGAGGCAUCCUUGGAAAACUGAUUUUUGAAGGAUUUUUUUCCCCAAAGCAGGCAGUAGUCAAAAGUGACUUGACCUUGUGACUUCUUCUUUCAGCAACUCACCAAAGAAAAGUGAGUCCACAUAGUCCUGGAAGGUCUUCAGGGAGGCUCGGCAAAUAGUCAUGGAACGACUCUGCCAGCCAGGGUAGGAGACAGGUGCAAAGGACAACUACAGAUGCAGAGUGACUGGAACACAGCCUUGCUUUAUGAAGACUCUUCCAGAGAGAGGAAAGGAGGGCCGCACUCCUGGGAACGCUGAGAGGAAUUCAUGUGGAGGGAAGAGGGGACACAAACACUCUGCAGAGCCACACAGAUCAGAUGGACAGACCCUGGGAUCCACCGACUACAGAGCUCAUGGUCCCCUCGAAUGAAUGAAUGCCUGUUGCUCGAGGGAACCAUGGGCAUCUCAACAGCACCAGGAAAAGGAAAUGCUAAAUCUGGCUGAACACAAUGAUAUGAAAAUGGCGAGACUCACCUGGGGCUUGAGAGAAAGCUGCACAGCCCCCUCCAGGACCUGUUCAUUUUCAUGUGCCAUGGCAGUUCUUCGUAGACUCUCCAGAAAGUGCUUUGUUGCUGGAAAUAUCUGGUCAAGAUUUGGUGAAAAUACGUCCUCUUUUGAUUUGUUGGGUUCUGAAAUGGAUAUGGAUUGCAUUCUCUGAUGGGAGUGAGGACACCUGUAUAUCAUAAAAAUCAAUUACAGUAUAAUGCAUCGGACUUUUUAGUAUAUGAAAAUACUAUAGCAAAGAUACAACUGCUCUAUGCCCAUAAUUAAUGGAAGACAAGUCAAGGUAGCUGGGGAAAAUCUGUCUACACAUCACUGGCCUAGCAUGUGAAAAGUUUGUGGGAAGGUUGAUUUCUCAUCAUUGUGAGCUGUCCAGGACUAAGUUACCUGGUCUCUGAUUUUAAGUAGCUUUGUUACCUCAGCCCCACUCCCAAAGAAAUCUAUGUGUAACCUAUUUUUCUAUUUUCUUUUUUUUUUUCAGUAACCUGAAAUGCUCCAAAAUUCUAUUUUAAAUAUACACCGUGGUUACUGCUUAAAUAGGCACCUUCAAACAUUUGAGGCUGUACUGUUUGGAGAAGUUAAUCCAUCGCCUGGAUCUCAGACAGGCCAAGGGGUAACUGAGAAAACAAAUGCCAAGUUCUGUGUUGGAGCCAGGAGUACUGUAUCUUCAUUUCCAAAAAGAAACGGUUCCAGCUGAUCAUACUACCCAGACAGAAGCUUCCCGAAGACAGAAGGGUUUAUCUAAUUACUUAAAACCUGGUGAUACCUAUGCCUGAAAACUAAAAUAGAAGUAUUUUAAAAUUUUCUGCUUGUCACUUUUUCUACCAAGCCCUGCUCUUCAUAAGAACUGUAACCAAAGGGAAGCCCACUGUUUAAACGACCACUCUGCAUUUCCACGGAAACGAUUCCCAGGUUACCCACCCAUGUGGAGAGACCCUGGACUACCUGGUCUACCACGUGCAGAUACACCCAGACAGCAAGCAUAGUGCUUAAGAGACGCCUGGAAGGAAAAGAAACAGCCUCCUCCACUGUGUAUGGCAAAGGUAUGUCAGUAGGUAGUAAACUGAGAAAGGGAGGUGCAGAAUGGAGGAGAAAAAAGACAGAUACUACCCUGAGUCCAAGAUUUGGAAUGUUAAACACAAUACUAAAAGUGUAUACACUCUGGGAGGCCAAGGCAGACGGACUGCUUGAGCUCUUGAGUUCAAGACCAACCUGAGCAAGAGUGAAAUGCCAUCUCUAAUAAAAAUGAAAAACUGAGGCAAGAACAUCACUUGAGCUCAAGAGUUUGAGGUUGCUGUGAGCUAUGACAAAAAAUAAAAAUAAAAUAAAAUAAAAGUUGAUGAAACAUUUUUAUAGGCCAGGUGCAGUGGCUUAUGCCUGUAAUCUUAGCACUGUGGGAGGCUGAGGCAAGAGGAUUGCUUAAGGAGUUUGAGACCAAUCUAAGCAGGAGUUUGAGACCAAUCUAAGCAAGAGCAAGACCUCGUUUCUACUGAAAAUAGGAAAACUUGCUGGGCAUGGUGGUGCACACCUGUAAUCCCAGCUACUUGGGAGGCUGAGAGGCAAGAGGAGGCUUGAGCCCAGGAGUUCAAGUUUUCAGUGAACUAUAAUGCUGCCACUAUACUCUAGCCAAGGUGACAGAGUGAGACUCUGUCUCAAAAAAAAAAAAUCAUAGAGAACAUUACAUUUAAUUUCGUCUUUUUAUGAAACAACUUCAUGAGGAGGAUAUGAGGAUGAAUCCCCAGGUGACCAACAAAACUACUUAAAAUCAGAGAAACCAGGUGACUUAUCCUCAGUCAGCCCAUGACCACAAAUUGGAGAAGCAGCAUGCAAACUUUCUUGACUAACACUAGCUCCUCCAACUCCACGUGGCAAGUGAGAACUGCUUUGACCCCCAUGCAGCACAGGUCUCAAUGACAGACCUAAUGGCUGAUGCUUCUGAGGUGCUGUCGUGACACAUGGUGGGCUAAACAACCCCCACAUCCCAGUGCCCUAAAAGAGCAAAGGUUUAUUACGUCCACCACAGGACUGGAGACUGGGACUCCAAUCCAAGUUUCCUGACUACAGGACUCACAGAGCAGCUGCCAACAUGAACGCUGCCAGUGGACGCUUAGUCACGAGGCCCCACCUGAGAAGGGGGCCAGGAGGUGUUUCCUGCAGUGAAGGAGGGGCUGGAAAUACUGGCAUUUGGCCUAAAGGAUCACCACAAGUACCUAUCGUCAUGCCCAAAGCUGUACCGUAUGGGAAGCCAGCUGCUAUGCUGUGAGCACACUCGAGCAGCCAUACGGAGAGGUCAAUGUGGUGAGAACUGAGGCCUCUAGCCAACAGCAGAUGUGAGUGAACCAUCAUGGAAAACAGGUCCUCCAGCCCCAGGCAAGCCCCUGGAUGACUUCAGCCUUGGCCAGCAUCUUGACUGCAAGUUCAUGAGAGAGACUCUCAGCCAGAACUACCCAGCUAAGUGCUUCUAGAUUCCUAACCUACUGAUAAUAUGUGACCUAAUAAAUGUUUAUUGUUUUAAAUUGCUGCAUUUGGGUGUAAUUUGCUACACAGCAAUAGAUAGUACAAGGGGUCUGGGACUUGACCCAAGUUCUUCAUUUGUUUCAUAUUCCUCAAUAUUUUAUAGUUUUCUCCAUGCAAGAUCUAUGUCUUUCUUAAGUUUAUUCCUAAGUAUUUGUCUCUAAUAUGCAUAAAAUUUAAAAAAUUCCAUUUGUAUAUGUUUUCUGCACAUUCAGAGCAAGACUAUUGAUUUUUUUAUAUAUUUAUCAUAUGGCCAAUAAUUUAUCAGAUUCUCAUAUUCAUUCUAUACUUUCUUUUUUAACUAAAGUCUCUUGAGUUUCUGGGGUAUGCAAAAGUUAACCAAGCUGGUCAACAUACAAAGGUGGUCAACAUUAAGGAACUAGGUGUAUUGUACUGAUACAUACAUGUAUCAGUAUGUGACUGGAUAUAGUCCAGUCUGUGAAAAUUUGGUCUACUUAGGGGGGUGGUCGCCUAUGGAGGUUCUACUGUAUGCAUUGAUUCUGUAUGAAUAGAGAUCCUCUCUAUAUUGCUCACUCCUAUAUUGCCAGCACCUAGCAUAACACCUGGCAUAUAACGGGUCCUCAACAUUUGCUAAAUUAAUAAGUAAAUGAAGGAAUAAACAAACAAAGCAACCAAGCAACCAAUUCACCUUAGUCCUUGGCCCCAAUCCUUAAUGCUCCUUGAUGCAAAUUGCUUUCCUGCCUCAGUCUCCCCAGCCUGCAUUCUCCUGACUCCCUGCUGUUGGAAUACACCUGCCUACCAGGAGAGCUAUUUUUUGCCUCUAACUGCAUCUCUUUGCCUAUCUGGCAAAGUUUAACCUAUCUUCCUAUCUUCUUGCCUGUCUUCCAAGUCUAACCACAAGGUAUAAUGCUAUCAAGUGGGUCCCAGAAGUUUGAAUUUGGUCCCAAACACCAAAGUAUCUGUUUCCAGUACUGUCCAUGGAACUACAGCAACAAAGAGAAAAACUAAAAUUAGGAAGCAAGGGAAUCAGACACAAAGGUAUGUAGCUUAAUAAUCAUCUGGAGUGUUAACUAUGAAGGAACAGGCCAAAUGGGGACUGGGGGUGACUAAUGAGUUACAAGUUAGAAAAGGUGAAAAGGCCGCAGGGUAGAGACAACAAAGCUGGGAACUGAGUAAGCUGCCCGUUCCCCUGCAGGGUACUCAACCAGAGAUGCCAUCUUAAAGGGGCAGAGCUGAGUCAGACCAAUGGCCAGCCAUUUUAUGCCAGCUGGUGCUCUGCCUGCCCCAAGAAUUCCCACAGUCACCUGCAGAAACAUCUACUCACAAGUAGUGACUAUUUUGGAGGGUUCGUCUCAGUCUCAGUUUCCUCCAGGUGCAGCGUACCCUGCUCACUAGUGACCAGUUAAGAUGACCUUUGCAGGCAGGGAGCGUUGGCUCACAUCUGUAAUCCCAGCACUCUGGGAGGCCCAGGCGGGUGGA